UAGCUAGUCGGUGGGGUAAAGGCCUACCAAGGCGACGAUCGGUAGCUGGUCUGAGAGGAUGGCCAGCCACACUGGAACUGAGACACGGUCCAGACUCCUACGGGAGGCAGCAGUGGGGAAUAUUGGACAAUGGGGGCAACCCUGAUCCAGCAAUGCCGCGUGUGUGAAGAAGGCCUGAGGGUUGUAAAGCACUUUCAGCGGGGAGGAGGUUUUGCAGGUUAAGAGCUAGCAAAAUGGACGUUACCCACAGAAGAAGCACCGGCUAACUCCGUGCCAGCAGCCGCGGUAAUACGGAGGGUGCGAGCGUUAAUCGGAAUUACUGGGCGUAAAGGGUGCGUAGGUGGUUUAUUAAGUUAUCUGUGAAAUCCCUGGGCUCAACCUGGGCAGGUCAGAUAAGACUGGUAGACUCGAGUAUGGGAGAGGGUAGUGGAAUUUCCGGUGUAGCGGUGAAAUGCGUAGAGAUCGGAAGGAACACCAGUGGCGAAGGCGGCUACCUGGCCCAAUACUGACACUGAGGCACGAAAGCGUGGGGAGCAAACAGGAUUAGAUACCCUGGUAGUCCACGCCGUAAACGAUGUCAACUAGCUGUUGGGUAUAUGAAUGUACUUAGUGGCGA
rnacentral:rRNA from 1 species